UGAGUAAUGACCAAAAAUAUCAUUGACGUUUUAUAUUGUAAUGCUAAAUUCUUUUAAAAAGUUCUUGAUCUAUAUAUUAGUCAAUAAAAGAUUACAGAAAUGCUAUGAUAUUUUAGGAAAUGUCACAGCGAAAGGAAGAUGACUGGGAAGGAGUGGAUGACUAGGAAGUGCUUUCCUUAAGAAACAGGCAAGGCUCUCAAGACUGGACAUGGAAGCCAAGGAGCCCAGUCUCCCGUACCUCCCACCGCCCCAACCUCCAACGACUCCGCCUGACACGGCAUCACCGCCACCUCUCAGCCUUCCAGUGUGCUUGCUGUCUUCCCUAUUCUGGUAAGUGAAGCUACACUGUACAUGCAUUAUUUCUACUUUAUAUAGGCUCUGUAUUUAUCAUAUCAUUUCUACUUUUACAAUAUAUUUGUGUUG
rnacentral:lncRNA from 1 species